rnacentral:rRNA from 1 species
GACGAACGCUGGCGGCGUGCCUAAUACAUGCAAGUAGAACGCACAGUUUAUACCGUAGCUUGCUACACCAUAGACGGUGAGUUGCGGACGGGUGAGUAACGCGUAGGUAACCUGCCUGGUAGCGGGGGAUAACUAUUGGAAACGAUAGCUAAUACCGCAUAAUAUUGAUUAUUGCAUGAUAAUUGAUUGAAAGAUGCUAUUGCAUCACUACCAGAUGGACCUGCGUUGUAUUAGCUAGUAGGUGAGGUAACGGCUCACCUAGGCGACGAUACAUAGCCGACCUGAGAGGGUGAUCGGCCACACUGGGACUGAGACACGGCCCAGACUCCUACGGGAGGCAGCAGUAGGGAAUCUUCGGCAAUGGACGAAAGUCUGACCGAGCAACGCCGCGUGAGUGAAGAAGGUUUUCGGAUCGUAAAGCUCUGUUGUAAGAGAAGAACGGGUGUGAGAGUGGAAAGUUCACACUGUGACGGUAUCUUACCAGAAAGGGACGGCUAACUACGUG